UUUCGUGCGCCACCGUUCUCCCUUCACCGCACCAAAUCCUCCCUAGCGGCCUAGCGGCGAACGAAGAUGACGGCUGCUGCUGCCUGUUGGCCACAGCCGAGGCCGCGUUCGGCAGGGGCGGGACCGGGCCACUGGUCAUCGGCAGCGUCCCUCGCGCACACGCCUUCGGCCGCUCCUCCUCUCACACAAAGCAACGGCGGACAACGACGACAAUGGCCGCCGCCGCCCCCUGUUGGCCAACGUCGAGGACGCGCUCGGCGGGGAACAGCACCGGGCUUCGGUCCGUCAUCGGCUUCCCUCGAGCGGCCUUCAUCAGCGUAUGGUGAUGCACCUCCCUCCUCGUAUCGGUCCGCCCCCGCGCUCUCGCCCCUCUCACCCCGCGCGCCGCUCCUUCUCUCCCCGCCUCUGUGCACCCGCUACUUCAGCUUCCACCUCUGAACGCCCACCACGGAGCUCGCCGCCCCGACAGGCAUGGCCAACACGGACGCCGUCCUCCGCUCCCUCUCCGUCCCUGCCUCCCGUCUUCCCGAUCUGCGUGGGCGUGGAGAGCUUCCUCCUCUGCGGAUCCAGCCGCCCCGACCGGCAGGGCCACCACCAGCCGCCGCCGGCCAUCCUGGAAGAUCUACUGCUGCCAAAUUUGUUGAUGCAAAUCGGUUUCUAGGUCCUUCAGAAGAUAUGUAUCAGGAGAAGAAGGCAUUAUACAAGCUAAUUUCAGGAUUGCACUCCUCAAUUUCUGUACACAUUGCUUAUUACGGUUAUAUUCUAGACGAAUCUGCUAACUUGGUGUCUACCCACCACCGUACAACGUCCUGUUCAUAGUGCAAUUAUGGACUGAAGAUUUUGUUUUCUGUUGAUGGAGAGAACAAUUUGAAUCAACAGUUCCGUCUGCAGCUAAACGAGGUCAUUGCACUGGUAAAUCUUCUGAACGGGCUGUUAGAAUCUGUCAAAUUUGCGUACAUGAAAAAUGACCAUCCACCGACGAAGGAAUUAACCUGAAUCUCAACCAGGUUGUUUGUUUCCCUGGGCCGCAACUGGCUAACGGGCUGUUUGGUUUCCCCGGGCCGCCGGAUGUAAUGCCCGUCUCUCUCCCUGCAUCGAUACUCUUCCUCGCUCCCCUAGCGUCGGCCGCCCGAGCGAGGCCCCUCCGCCGCCCGAGCCCUUCUCGUCGACCACCGGCGCGCCGCCCCUCCGCCACCGGCACUUCUCCGCUGGCGGGGCGCCUCCUCGGCCGCCCACGCGCCUCCGACAAUCGUCCAGGCGGCUCCCGCGGAUGAAGCCGUAGCCCAGCCAGGUCCACCACGGCGCCAUCCCCCAUUGGCAGGUCUGAAGAGGCAUUGGACGGUGACGAUGCGGACGGCUCCUUGCAGCGCCCCUGCCAUGUCCUUCCUUUGACUCGCGGCGACCUCCUUGACUGCAGCGACGGUUGAGCUGCCUCCAGCAACGGCGACCGUGGAUACGUCUCACCCUGCCGUGUGGUAUUGCCCCAGGCGAUGGCUACUUGGGCUGAAUUUGGGUGUUCUGUUGUGCUGAUUUUUUUUGAACCAGCUGCACUGAAAGUUUUGCUGUACUGAAUUUGGGUGUUCUGCUGGCUGAUGAUGUAUUUUUGAAGAUGUUGGCUCCUGUGUUGCUGAAGCCUGAAGCUCCUGUGUUGCUGAAUGUACAGAAAUUUAUGGUGUGCGCUAUUUUAGUUCUUCCUCUGUCCCAUAUUAAGUGAUUCAAAUUUGUCCAAAUAUGGAUGGAUCUAUGCUUAAAAAAUGUCUAGAUACAUGUCAUAGAAAGUCACUUAACAUGGGACGGAGGGAGUAGUUAUUUAGGCAGGCUUUUCAAUCUGAAUGUGAAUGUAGAAAAAUCUCAUGUAUUUUGGAUGUGAAUGUACAUAAAUUUCAUCUAUUAUGUCAGUGUAUGGAAAUCUCAUGGCAUA